rnacentral:lncRNA from 1 species
CUGAAACAAAAGAUAGUUAUUUUUAUGAGUUUUUAUGAAUCAAAAUGAUGAACAGAAAGAAAACUAAAUGAUAAAUGAAGAACAGAAACAAAUAAGACUUUUUAUGGGUUUUUUUAUAUUGAAUGGAAAAUCUAGAACUAUAUGAUGCAAAAUGAAACAAAAUAAGAGAAGGAUAGAGAUGGCUGAUGGAUUCAAGUUGCUGGACUGAUGUCUCUCUCAACAAGAACAGGGGAUGGAGAUGGCGUGAAGGUGGGAUCUUGCUUGCUGGACUGAUGUCUCUCUCAAGCCGGAUCAAGGGAUGGAUUGAAGUGGAUUUGCGGAUGAUGUUUUUGAUUGAAUCUCUCAAUCUGAUGAAGGAUGGAUCGAAUUGAUUGACUCUCUCAAUCUGUGUACUGAGCUUGUUUGAUU